rnacentral:rRNA from 1 species
GAUGAACGCUGGCGGCGUGCCUAGCACAUGCAAGUCGAGCGAGAAGUUUGAAAAAUGAGUUUUCGAACAAGUGAUUCAAACGGAAAGCGGCGGACGGGUGAGUAACGCGUAGGCAACCUGCCCCGUGCAGAGGGACAGCCUCGGGAAACCGGGAUUAAGACCUCAUGAUAUCGGGUUAUCACAUGGUAAUCCGGUCAAAGAUUUAUCGGCAUGGGAUGGGCCUGCGUCUGAUUAGCUGGUUGGUGGGGUAACGGCUUACCAAGGCGACGAUCAGUAGCAUAACUGAGAGGUUCAUCUGCCACAUUGGAACUGAGACACGGUCCAAACUCCUACGGUAGGCAGCAGUGAGGAAUAUUGCACAAUGGGCGAAAGCCUGAUGCAGCAACGCCGCGUGAGCGAAGAAGGCCUUUGGGUCGUAAAGCUCUGUCCUUGGGGAAGAAACAAAUGACGGUACCCUUGGAGGAAGCCCCGGCUAACUACGUGCCAGCCGCCGCAGUAA